AUGGACCACGCAACAGGUGCCAUGGGCAGCCUGCUCCUCAAGCUUGGCAAACUCCUCAAGGAAGAGUACGACCUGCAGAGAGGCAUCAAGGAAGAUAUCCAGUAUCUCGAGAGAGAGCUGGAGAGCAUGCAAGCUGCCCUCCGCAAGGUCGGCGACGUGCCACGGGACCAGCUCGACGAGCAAGUCAAGCUCUGGGCAAACGAGGUCAAAGAUCUUUCAUACAGAAUGGAGGAUAUCAUCGACAAGUUCCUGGUACGUGUUGAGGGCCCUGAGCCUGACGACAAGCAGCACAAGCUCAAACAACUCAUCAAGAAGAUGGGCGACUUGUUCACCAAGGGCAAGCCAAGCCAUGUCAUCGCAAAAGAGAUCAAAAGCAUGAAGGCCCGCGUCCAGGGAGCUGCUGACCGGCGUGAUAGGUACAGGGUCCACGAGGUGGUUGCUAAUCCAGUUGGCGCAACCACGGUCGACCCUCGCCUGUUGGCUCUAUACAAGGACAGGAAAGAGCUCGUUGGCAUUGAUGAUUCAAUGAAUGAGCUGACCAAGAAGCUGAGUGUCGGGGAUGGUGAUGUGUCCAAACAACUCAAGAUACUCUCUGUUUUUGGAUUUGGAGGCCUUGGCAAGACAACUCUUGCCAAAGCAGUGUAUAAUAAGAUACGAUCGCAGUUCGACUGUGGUGCUUUUGUACCAGUCGGGCGGAACCCUAGUCUGAAGAAUAUUUUAAAUGAUGUCCUCCUUGAGAUUGAUGGGCAAAAGCAUGACAACUUGGAUGAAAGACAGCUCAUCAACAAGCUCCAAGGAUUACUCCGGGAGAAGAGGUACAUCAUUGUUAUUGAUGAUAUAUGGGAAACAAAAACAUGGGAAAUAGUUAGGUGCAUUUUUGUGCAUAAUAAUUUGGGGAGCAAGAUAAUCACAACUACCCGUAUUCAUGAAGUCGCUGCAAAAGCCGGUGAAAUAUACAAGAUAAAACCACUCUCUCAUGCUUUAUCUGAGGAGUUAUUUUGUACUAGAUUAUUUUAUGGAAGAAAUGUAUGCACUUCUGAUCAGCCAGAAGAGGCAUACAACAAGAUUUUGCAAAAAUGUGGUGGCGUACCUUUGGCUAUAAUCACAAUAGCAAGUUUGCUUGUUGGUAAACCAGUGGAGGUUUGGUCUAAGGUAUACAACUCAAUUGGUUUUGGGCAUGAAGAUAAUGAAGAUGUCGAUAACACGAGAAAGAUAGUUUUAUUUAGCUACUAUGCUCUACCUUGUCAUCUGAGGACAUGCUUAUUAUAUAUGAGCCAAUAUCGAGAAGAUUCAUAUAUUCUAAAAGAUAGUUUGAUAUCAAGGUGGGUUGGUGAAGGUUUUGUCCAAGAAGAACAAGGGGCGGGAUUGUUUGAGAUCGCUGAGAGAUAUUUCAACGAGCUGGUUAACAAAAGCAUCUUGCAGCCAGCAGAGAUUCUGCACCAUGGCAUCAUAAGUCAUUGUUCUGUCCAUGAUAUGGUCCUUGAUAUGGUACGUCUAUUGGCUAAGGAAGAAAACUUUCUCACUAUAGUGGAUAGUCACGAGCAGCAAACAUAUCCAGUAUACCGCAAUAUUCGUAGGCUGGCCAUUCGAAAUAAAAACCGUCUGGUUGACACACACAUGCCACAAGUAAGGACAUUUAAUUCCAUGUGCUUUGAUGAAUGUCACCCAUCGCUUUCAUGCUUUCAGUUUUUACGUGUCCUAUCUCUAGCAGGUGGCAUUUCUUAUAUAGACACCACAAAUCAUCUGGAACGUCUUGGAAAGUUGGUCCACUUGAGGUAUCUUGGACUAGCGCAGAUGAAUAUCCAUGAGCUCCCAAAGGAAAUAGGGGACCUAAAGUUCUUACACACACUAGACUUCCUUGAGGUUAGACUACAAGAAUUGCCACAGAGUGUUGGUCAGCUAAGUCGCCUGAAGUGUCUGUGGCUUGAAGCCACCAACACAAGAGUCCCAGACUGGAUCGGGAACCUGACAUCUCUGGAAAUGCUAUGCGUGAACAGUGUUGAAGAUUCCUCGAACUUUGUGAAUGAGAUUGGCAAACUUGCAGAGCUGAGGAAACUCCGCAUUGGUGGAAGUUUAUGUCUGCCCAGUGCGGCCAUGGCAAAAGCUUGGGCGGAGUCACUUGUGAAACUGCAGAAAAUCCAAGUCAUAGACAUUGCUUGCAUUGAGUCAGGUGGGUAUGAUGAUGUCACCUGCUCCUGGGAAGGCUAUGCCCUCUCUCGACAGCUCCGUGUUCUGCACUUGUCGUACAGACAACCAGGGUUGCUAGCAAGGAUUAAUCCGUUGCUUCUUCCAAGCCUCUCUAAUUUAGAAGUACACGUGGACGCUCCAGAUCUUCAGAUCUUUGGAAUGUUUCCAGAGCUGGUCACUCUUAAGCUGAACACCCCAAUCGGCCUCCACCAUAAUGCCAUGGGAGCUGUAGGUGCUUUCCCCAAGCUAAGAGUUUUCACUACGCGUGGAACGCCCGGCCGGUUUGUGAAGGGAGAUAUGCCAUGCCUUGAACACCUCGAGUUCCGCAUCAAUUUUGUGCAGGAAUCCAAUCUUGAGUUUGACUUUGCUAGCUUGGUGAACCUCCCUUUGCUUCAGAAAGUUAAAGCCUAUAUAGUGCAUGAUCCUGCUAUCGUCCCUCGUGCGGACCUCCACAAGGCAGUGGAAGUGGCAAGGCAUGCGAUUAACAUCCUUCCCGACCCUUCCAUACUUGACUUCUUUGCGAUGCCGAUCAGUUCUGACUGA
rnacentral:rRNA from 1 species